rnacentral:lncRNA from 1 species
CUACAAUGGAAUUCUUUAGUAGGAUACUUCGACUUAAUACUUAGAGACCUUCAGCUCAAAAUGAUGCAAGCUAAAUGUGAACAGAGACCAACACUGGCUGGUUCCAGAACCCCAAUUCUCAAAGGGAAGAAAAAGCAGAAUUUAUUUUCCCCAAUUGUCAGCUUAGAUUAGCAAGAAAACACUGAAGACCUGGUCUGAGGACAUCUCCCGUUAUGUGGAAGGUUUCAGGAGACAAACUGUAUGUUUGUGAAGAGGAGUGUACAUCGAUGAAGAAUUCAGAGUGUGGUCAUCAAGA